AGCUGAUUUAUGUAAAUGAAUGAGUUUGGGGUUCGGCUCCGCUGGCUGGGAGCCGCCCUUCAUUCACCACAUGGUUAAACCCUGGCUCUACUCGCGCGCGCCACUUUCGCAAUCUUACUACGACUCCCAAACUCCCAGCAAAUCAUAAUAGUAGCACAUGGUUUUGCACUUUUGUUUGAUCGUAAGUCUUAGUUUGGGGUCUCUCUUCCUCUGCAGUAUUAUUGCAGGACUCGACGGAUAACCAGCGUGAGUAUUACGAACCCUCCCGAACGGCACAUAUUGAACUCGAAGGCGUCCAUCAUUCAGCCUGAAAGAAAAUGCUACACGCACAGUUUUGAGUCACUGUGGUGUCAAAGUGCUUACAGUGCAGGUAGUUUUCUGAAAUCUACUGCAGUGAAGGCACUUUCGGCACUGUUCUGAUAAUGUGAACUAAAGGAGCCGAUCCAGCUGAGGUCAUGAAUAGACUGAAUGCAGGCACGCUUGUUAAUGCACAUCUGGCAGGAACCUCUGCUCACCCCCGCUGUUCUGGACACAAGAAUCAAUUUAGGAAGCAAACAUUUUAGCUGUGUAUGAAAUCUGUCAGUAGUUUAGAGUUUUCUGUACUUUUUUUUAAUCUGAGCGUUGUCUUCCUCUGGCUCUCGUGCUAAGGUGCAUCUAGUGCAGAUAGUGAAGUAGACUAGCACCUACUGCCCUAAGUGCUCCUUCUGGCAUAAGGAGACGGAAAUCUCACCAUUUAUUUAUUUUUUUUGUCCAUUUCCACGUUUGUGUGCCUUAGUCGGCUCUCCGUCAGUUUUGCCUAGUUGCGCUGCAAGAAGAAAUAAGUUGUGCAAAUCUACGCAAAACUGAUGACGAGCUGUGUUUACAUCCGUUCCUUCAUGUUUUGCGCUCUGGAUGCGGUAAAGUCGGGUUUCAGUAGUAUUAAAGUGCUUAUAGUGCAGGUAGUUACUCUGAAUUCUACUGCAGUGUGAGCACUUGAAGUACUUCUAGACUGGAUCUCCGUGGAGAGCUGCAGGGGUGGCGAAUGCGCACGUGGGUCUCUGGUUAGUUUUGCUGGUUUGCUGUCAGCUUUUCCAUUCACUGCUGUGCAAAUCCAUGCAAAACUGAUCAUAGAGCUGAACAGAAUCGAUGCGAGGGGAUCCCUUUCUGUGCAGGUUGGGAGAGGCGGCAAUGCUCCGUGCUUGAGAGGUAUUGCACUUGUCCCGGCCUGUUGAGGACAUGGGAACAGUUCAGCAUCUGCUACAGCCUCCUCACCACCAGGCUAGUAAAUAUCGCUCACUAAAGUUCUUUUCCCGCUUCAGAAGUGUUAGCAGUUUAAUUUUGAAAAUAAAAAUAACAAAAAGCCUU